AGCUUUGCACAGGGGCAGUACUGUAGCCAAUGAGGUUUAUCCAAGAUGUGAUUAUUGAUAACUGAAAACUUCUCCCAGUUUUUUCUGUUAGCAACAACUCUCUGCUCUGGAUCUAGUUCA
rnacentral:snRNA from 1 species